UACGUAGGGUGCGAGCGUUAAUCGGAAUUACUGGGCGUAAAGCGUGCGCAGGCGGUGAUGUAAGACAGAUGUGAAGUCCCCGGGCUCAACCUGGGAACUGCAUUUGUGACUGCAUCGCUGGAGUGCGGCAGAGGGGGAUGGAAUUCCGCGUGUAGCAGUGAAAUGCGUAGAUAUGCGGAGGAACACCGAUGGCGAAGGCAAUCCCCUGGGCCUGCACUGACGCUCAUGCACGAAAGCGUGGGGAGCAAACAGG
rnacentral:rRNA from 1 species